rnacentral:tRNA from 1 species
AGCAGCGUGGCUUAGUGGAAAGAGCAUGGGCUUGGGAGUCAGAGGUCAUGGGUUCGAAUCCCAGCUCUGCCA